UACGGAGGGUGCAAGCGUUAAUCGGAAUUACUGGGCGUAAAGGGUGCGUAGGUGGUUUGAUAAGUUAUCUGUGAAAUUCCUGGGCUUAACCUGGGCCGGUCAGAUAAGACUGUUAGACUUGAGUAUGGGAGAGGGUAGUGGAAUUUCCGGUGUAGCGGUGAAAUGCGUAGAGAUCGGAAGGAACACCAGUGGCGAAGGCGGCUACCUGGCCCAAUACUGACACUGAGGCACGAAAGCGUGGGGAGCAAACAGG
rnacentral:rRNA from 1 species